AUUGAACGCUGGCGGCAGGCCUAACACAUGCAAGUCGAACGAGUGGCGGACGGGUGAGUAAUGUCUGGGAAACUGCCCGCUGGAGGGGGAUAACUACUGGAAACGGUAGCUAAUACCGCAUACCAUCGGAUGUGCCCAGAUGGGAUUAGCUAUUAGGUGGGGUAACGGCUCACCUAGGCGACGAUCCCUAGCUGGUCUGAGAGGAUGACCAGCAACACUGGAAGUGAGAAACGGUCAGGACUCCGACGGAGGGAAGCAGUGGGGAAUAUUGGACAAGGGGGGAAAGCCGGAUGCAGACAUGCCGGGGGUAUGAAGAAGGCCUUAGGGUUGUAAAGUACUUUCAGCGGGGAGGCGUUACCCGCAGAAGAAGCACCGGCUAACUCCGUGCCAGCAGCCGCGGUAAUUC
rnacentral:rRNA from 1 species